GUUCAGCUGCAGCAACCACUGGAACCUGCCUACACCUAGUGUCUCCACUCAUGCGUGGGGCUAGAUGUUCCUCCCUCCUGUAGUGGUACAGCCAGAGUGGCAGAGGGGGCAAGUCACUGCUGCAGUUCCCACCUGGGUCUGAGUGGGGGUCAGCCUGGGUGCCCAUGUAUUUCCCAAUUACCUGGUUCCAUCUGGGGGCUUCAUGGACAGGAGUGGUGCUUUUCCAGGCCUCUUUUCCAUAUGCCAGCUACAGGCCCAGGUUUCCCAAGUUUCUGGAGCCCCUCUUCCAGCCUGGCAAGCGUGGUGUGUUGUAGGGGAAGGACAUCAAGCCUACAGGCAGCGGAACCUGUCUGGUUUUGCAGGACCUGGGUGAUCACCCAAGGAGUGAAAAUUGCCUUUUUAUGAGAAAUUGCCAAAAUUGAUGCAAGCUCAUCAGUUGAAAAGAUCAGCAGCAGACAAGAGCAGAGCUUUCAACUGGAAUUGUACAUAAGUGUAAUCAAGAUCCUGAAGCAUUUCUUCAAAUAAUUGUGUGAGGAAGUCAAACACAGGUGUUCCAAUGAAAUUUUCAAGACAAAACACAAUUAAAGCAAUGGCUACGAAGAGGUGAAAGUGGUCCAGUCUCAG